UACGUAGGUGGCAAGCGUUGUCCGGAAUUAUUGGGCGUAAAGCGCGCGCAGGCGGUUCCUUAAGGCUGAUGUGAAAGCCCCCGGCUCAACUGGGGAGGGUCACUCGAUACUGAUCGACUCGAAGGCAGGAGAGGGAAGUGGAAUUCCCGGUGUAGUGGUGAAAUGCGUAGAUAUCGGGAGGAACACCAGUGGCGAAGGCGACUUCCUGGCCUGUUCUUGACGCUGAGGCGCGAAAGCUAGGGGAGCAAACGGG
rnacentral:rRNA from 1 species